CCUACGGGAGGCAGCAGUGAGGAAUAUUGGUCAAUGGACGAGAGUCUGAACCAGCCAAGUAGCGUGAAGGAUGACUGCCCUACGGGUUGUACACUGCUUUUAUACGGGAAUAACACAGGGUAUGCAUACACUCUUGUAUGUACCAUAUGAAUAAGGAUCGGCUAACUCCGUGCCAGCAGCCGCGGUAAUAAGGAGGAUCAGAUCGUUAUCCGGAUUUAUUGGGUUUAAAGGGAGCGUAGGUGGAUUGUUAAGGCCGUUGUGAAAGUGUGCGGCUCAACCGUAAGAUUGCAGUUGAAACUGGCAGUCUUGAGUACAGUAGAGGUGGGCGGAAUUCGUGGUGUAGCGGUGAAAUGCUUAGAUAUCACGAAGAACUCCGAUUGCGAAGGCAGCUCACUGGACUGGAACUGACACUGAUGCUCGAAAGUGUGGGUAUCAAACAGGAUUAGAUACCCUUGUAGUC
rnacentral:rRNA from 1 species